CUACUUUGCUUUAUUCUUUUAUUAAAACCAAACCAAACCAAACAAAAAACUAGUGUACUGGAGAUGUUAAGUCACAGCCUGAACCAGUGAUUUAGCACCUGGUGGGAAGGCAGGGCCAACCUAGGUGAGCUCAGGUGCAUGCAAUGCCCCUCAGUGACCGAAAGGGGGUGGAGCCAGGAUCCACCCCUUCCCAGACCUCAUUUAAUGGUUGGAAGUGGAAGUAUCUCUAUGGAGAUUCCUGUUUGCUAGAGAUUUUUCUGUAGGAGUGGGAAAAGUAUCUGACUGAUAGUGCUUGGCAAGAAGGAUCUCUCUUCACACAAGGAAGCAGCAUGGGCAUCAACUCUGGCACUCUUCCCUGUUUUGCCUGGGACUGAUAAUCCCAAACGUUUGCCCUGAGCAGAUCAAGUGUAGAACAACUUGUCAACUUGAGACCAGAUCCAUGGGGAACUCACCAAGACAGAGAUCUGCAACCUGACUGCUUUUUGGGAUACGGUGCCCUGGAUUAUUAGCACAAACUUUAUUCUACUGUGUGACUGGCUGUAAUUGUUACCCUGAACCAGCGUGUCACUGUUCCAUGCUCCUAUUCAGCCCACAGUCCACACUCAGGAGCCAGACUCAAGAGCCAGUGUUUGCAGCUAUCAAUUACAUAUUUUGAUCUGGUCUCUAGGCUUUGGACAACAUUCCCUUUACUUCCCUCAUUUUCUUAGGAACUAGUAAGUAGUUUUCAAGCUCUGACUUUUUAUCUGAGUCAUUGUGAAAGCCCCUCAUGGGGCAGAAUUUUUUAGACAACAAAGAGGAUUUAGAGGUUUUAUCAUUUCUAGAUCUCUAUCUUGACAAAACAACCACAGACCUAUUAACCACUCUACUGUACUUUUGUACUUGUUAAGAUGUCUCUUAGCUGGAUUAUUGUGUAGCUUCCCAAAUGUAACUCCCUUCAGAUCUAAUCUCCAUAGCAAAUAAUCAUCAUAAGCAAACACACAGAGGCACAAACCAUAGCCAUAACAAAAGAGCAC
ensembl:lncRNA